CACGAACCGUACAAACGUUAUUCGGAAUCACUGGGCUUAAAGGGUGCGUAGGCGGUCCUGCAAGUUGGGUGUGAAAUCCCUCGGCUUAACCGAGGGACUGCGCCCAAAACUGCCGGGCUAGAGGGAGACAGAGGUGAGCGGAACUUAGGGUGGAGCGGUGAAAUGCGUUGAUAUCCUAAGGAACACCAGUGGCGAAAGCGGCUCACUGGGUCUCUUCUGACGCUGAGGCACGAAAGCUAGGGGAGCGAACGGGAUUAGAUACCCGCGUA
rnacentral:rRNA from 1 species